rnacentral:rRNA from 1 species
ACACCGGCAGCCCGAGUGGUGGCCACUUUUAUUGGGCCUAAAGCGUCCGUAGCCGGUCUGGUAAGUCCCUGUAUAAAUCCUCAGGCUCAACCUGAGGAAGUGCGGGAUACUGCCAGACUCGGGGCCGGGAGACGCGGAGGGUACUCCAGGGGUAGCGGUGAAAUGCUGUAAUCCCUGGGGGACCACCAGUGGCGAAGGCGCUCCGCGAGAACGGGCCCGACGGUGAGGGACGAAAGCCAGGGGAGCGAACGGGAUUAGAAACCCUAGUAGUCC